UUUAUUGGAGAGUUUGAUCCUGGCUCAGGACGAACGCUGGCGGCAUGCCUAAUACAUGCAAGUCGAGCGGAGUUGAUGGAAAGCUUGCUUUCCUGAUACUUAGCGGCGGACGGGUGAGUAACACGUAGGCAACCUGCCCUCAAGCUUGGGACAACU
rnacentral:rRNA from 1 species